UCCACUCCCCAAAUGCACUUUGCCAUCAAA
rnacentral:piRNA from 1 species